GUSSSUKGUUGCAGUUAAAGCUCGUAGUUGGAUUUCGGGUGGGUUCUAGCGGUCCGCCUCUGGUGAGUACUGCUCGGGCCUACCUUUCUGCCGGGGACGGGCUCCUGGGCUUCACUGUCCGGGACUCGGAAUCGGCGAGGUUACUUUGAGUAAAUUAGAGUGUUCAAAGCAAGCCUACGCUCUGAAUACAUUAGCAUGGAAUAACACGAUAGGACUCUGGCCUAUCUUGUUGGUCUGUAGGACCGGAGUAAUGAUUAAGAGGGACAGUCGGGGGCAUUCGUAUUUCAUUGUCAGAGGUGAAAUUCUUGGAUUUAUGAAAGACGAACUUCUGCGAAAGCAUUUGCCAAGGAUGUUUUCAUUAAUCAAGAACGAAAGUUGGGGGCUCGAAGA
rnacentral:rRNA from 1 species